CUGAGCUUCCAGGCCGUUCGGGAGGUUUGGGACAUUCGGUAUUUUGUUCCCUUAUACAUAAUCGGUAUUUUAAAACUAUGUUUUGGUGAAUGUGUUUUUCGGCGUUCGGCGUACGGCGUUCGGUUGUUUUAGCUGGGAUCUGAGCGGUAAUCUCAUGAAUGAUGCGCUCAGACCCCAGCUAUCUACCGAACGUCCAUUCGUUUAAAUGAACCAGAUAUUCAUGAAGUUAUGGAAUUUAAUGCGAAUUGUAAGUUCUGCUGCACGGAGGGAUAAGCC